rnacentral:rRNA from 1 species
CCUGAGAAACGGCUACCACAUCNNNNNNNNNCAGCAGGCGCGCAAAUUACCCACUCCCGGCACGGGGAGGUAGUGACGAAAAAUAACGAUACGGGACUCAUCCGAGGCCCCGUAAUCGGAAUGAGCACAACUUAAAUACUUUAGCGAGUAUCCAUUGGAGGGCAAGUCUGGUGCCAGCAGCCGCGGUAAUUCCAGCUCCAAUAGCGUAUGAUUAAAGUUGUUGCGGUU